ACUCCUACGGGAGGCAGCAGUGGGGAAUAUUGCGCAAUGGGCGAAAGCCUGACGCAGCGACGCCGCGUGGGGGAUGACGGCCUUCGGGUUGUAAACCUCUUUCAGCAGGGACGAAGCGGAAGUGACGGUACCUGCAGAAGAAGCACCGGCCAACUACGUGCCAGCAGCCGCGGUAAU
rnacentral:rRNA from 1 species